rnacentral:lncRNA from 1 species
CAGACGAUUUAUGCAACAGUGUUCCCAUAGACAAAAUUAUGAAAAGAAGGCAUUCCAACAUGCUGAUGUGUCUAACUGCCCAUGUAAAUUAAAUAAGGUGUAGCAAAAUAUAUAAAUUGUUAAUAUUAUGAUUACCUGGUACCUGAGACAAAGGGGAGAGAAAUUAACAACACUGGUUUUUAAUCAAUAAAAAUUAAACAGAUGAAAAUGGAUAACUCGCAGGAGAUGAAGUUGCUUAGUAAAAAGGGAUUCAGGAAGUUAUUUUUCCCCAUGGGAAAAAUUGAAAGUGUUUUUCAUAAUGUAUAUCCAUCUGGCAUAUUUGGCCUAUAACAUAGCUUAAUAUUUGUUGAGACUUAAAUUAAUUUGACUUUGGAGUUUUAAGAUGCAUUGAUUACCUUAGAGAGCUGAAAUUCUUAUAUCUAAGGUUGAAUUCUUAAACUUUCGAAUUAAGAUGUUUUGAUAUCUUAAGUGUCUAAAUUUUAUUUUUACAUGUGUUUAAUCUACCAGUGAUUGUACAACAUUAUAACAUAUUCCCUUCCAAAGUGUUAGUUUAUCUAACAUUGACUGAAUUUACUGUGAGGUUUUACUGCUGAACUAUUCAUUUGGCGUUAAGUAAUAGAGAAGAAGAAAGUAUAAGAGGUGCUGAUUAAAUAUUUGUUAGGGUACAUAUUUACUUUUAUUUCCAAUUAUUACACUGUUGAAAUAAUGGAAAAUAUCUAAUGUGAUAGAAAAAAAUCAUCAAAUCAGACAUUUAGAGGACUACAUUAGAUCUCAAAUGACCAGAAUGAAUUUUUAGUUUGAAUAAAUAAAUGUUCCAGUUGUUUGGGGCUUUAAAUCAGAAACAAAGUUUUCAAGAGAAAAUGCUAGAGUUACAAAGAGACAUAUUUUUGUCUCAAGCUGAGAGGUCUGGGAAGGAAAAAAUUUUUCUUCUGCCCUUUUAGGUCCUAUGACUGGGCCUGAGAAUUAAACUGACAAAAGACAGGCAAAAAGCAUUCAAAUUUUGCUUGAUGUUAAUAUUAUUAUAUAUAUACUUCAUAUAUAUAUAUUAAAAAAUGAAGGUCCAAAUAAGCAGGGAAAUACAUGGGAGAAACAAAUGUAAAAUAAGGUUUGAUUUAGUAGGUUUAUAUGACAGAUUCACCUCAGUGUCAACUCUCUGCCUCCAGUGAUAAGAAUACUCUCCUCUUCCAGAGUUUCUGUUGUGGUUCAUUGAGUUAUGAACCUGACUAGUAUCAAUGAGGAUGUGGUUUGAUCCCUGGCCUCACUCAGUGGAUUAAGGAUCCGGCAUUCCUGUGGCUGUGGUGUAGGUUGGCAGCUGCAGCUCCAAUUUGACCCCUAGCCUGGGAACUUCCAUAUGCCACAGUGCUGCUCUAAAAAGCAACAAACAAACAAACAAACAAACAAAUGGAAUAUUCUCCUCUUCCUGUGCAGGCAGGGCAUCUUUCUCAUGGGAAAUUUGUGCCCUGCUUUUAGGUAGGAAGGGGGAGUUCAGAGAGCCCUUCCUGCAUUUCAGUCACCUUCUACUCCAAAUAAUCAAUAUACUUGGGGAUGGCAUGUUCUGAUCUCCUUUAGGGUUUUGUAUUAUUAUUUAAUUAGUAUUCGUGUGUUUGUAAUUAUACAUGCAUAUAAAUGGAUAAAUAGGAACAACAACUAGCUGAAUGAAGGCAUAUCUCAAUCAAAUGGUCUCAAAAUUGCUAUUGUGGAAUUUCAGAUCUUUAAGACUUUUAGUGCUCAGAUCCAUAGAUAAGAAAUGACAGAAUAUUAAAAUUGAAAUAACCCUGAUAGUCUCAAGGAUAUCGACCAUGUCAGCCAUUCUGAAGACAGCUCACAUCUAUGCUAGAAGUAGAUUUAAAGGACAAUAAUCUUGAGAUUAAAAACUACCCAUAAUAUCAUUUCCCUAGAAUCCCUCCCUUACAUAAAUAUAGGUCCUCUAGAUGGAUUUGACCUCAUCUGGCAGGUAAAUGGCCCUCACUGACUUGCAUCAGUUGCAUCAAGUGAUGCAAUUGGCUUCUAAGGAUCCUAGAGCAAUUUCUCAUUAGAGGCUGGAUAUUAUACUUAUUGAUGUAUCUGUUGCCCAUUCCCAUCCUAAGUGUCCCUAUUGAAAACAGGACUAUGACUUUACUAUCUUGAUAACAUCACAGCUACUGUCUAGAUUAUUACUGUUGCCCUAACAAAUGAUCAUACUGUAUUUUUGUAUAUUUUUAUCAAAAAUAAAUAACUGCUCAGACAUAGAGACCAAUAAUAAUCUACUUUCUUCUGUGUUUUAUGACUUCGAUUUUAAAGGGAAACUAUAAAGAAGUAAAACCUUAGCUGACAUUGGGGACAACCUUCAGCAGUGUGACAGAUUUUACUGGUCUCAUUAGAAAUAUGUGGAGUGACGUGUGUUAAUUUGGGUCCUUUGAACUACCAAUCCAGGCAGAUUUUAUCAGUAAGAAAGCAGAGUGUAAAAAUAGCAGUGAGUCCAGGGGCUCAAGAAUGAUUUCAGGUUCUAAAGUUUGUAUCCCUCUCUGCUCUCCAUCCAGAAUAUUGUUGUUCUCCUGAAGCUGGUUCCCCUUUGGAGUAGAAUGACUUUCAAGGGCUGCUAUAAUACCCCUUUGUUCAAGUCAAAAGGGAUGAACUUGAACUGUUCUCUGUAAGAGGUGGAGAGAACAUUCUCAGACGUUACCAGCAUGUACUUCUUUAUAUCUCAUUGUCCUUUAUUGUGUCACAUGCUUUUCUUGAACGUAUUACUGACAAAGAGGAUGGAAUGCCCAAAGACUGACCACAAUAAGGUUAAUUCUCCCAGUUGCAGGUUUACUUCUCCAUAGGAAAGAAAUGGAAUAGACGUUGAGUGACCAAUGACAAUGUUUACCAUAAUGGGAUAAGUGCACAGAAAAUAAGGAGGAAGAUGAUGGAGAAACAGUUGUUGAAGGAAGGCACUAGAGGCCCAAUGGGACUAUCCUUUUACUAGAGAAAGAGUCAGUGCAAGCCAAACAAAACAGAGAAGAUAAAAGAGGAAGAGAAAUAACAAAUCAAAAGUAGCUAAGAACUACUUCAUUUUUUAAAAAGCGAAGUAUUAAGCGUGUUCAAAAAAUGUGUGUUUAUUCAUAGAGAUAGUUUAUUCUUCUGAGAAGAUAAGAAUAUACUUAAAAAAUAAAGGAAAAAUAAGGAGACAGUGCUGUCUUUUAGUUAAUGUUAAUUCACGAUUUGGAAAAGGUUUACAUGUGAGAAAGACUACCCUAAUUGAUCCUAUUUCUAUGGAUGUAUUUUGUUUAUAUGGGAAGAUUUAACCACAUAAAUGUUGACAUUUUGGAUAGUUUGUUGUAAGUGGGCAGAGUGUAGAUAAUGAGAAAUUCAACUGUGCUUAAAAUCAAUGGGCUUGUCUUUGUGAUGGGCUGUAAUGAGCCUCCUCCCCUGUAGGUUGGAAAAUGUGUGUUUUUUAGAGAACACCUAUCUCCACAUCUUUUCCUGGAUUUGUGUUUCCAGGGAGAGAUUUACCAUUCCAUAGUCAAAAUUAUGUGCAAGUACCACCUCUAAAAUGUCCACUAUCGCUAUCCAAACAUGUCAAUAUGUAGCUCUACAGGACUGACAAAUUUCCUUGCCCCAGGGAGGAACUGUCACUAAGGCAAGGCCAUGGGUAAAUACUGGUAACCACAAGGUUUCCUCCAGUAGCAUUUCAAGUGGGCAAUAAGAACCAAACCUGGCAGUAGCAGUCAUUCCAAAAUGUCUGUUUCUUUAACAGUUUUAAUCCUGAACCAACUCAGAUCUCAAAAUCUAGGCAACAGGCCAGAUCUCUAGGUUUGGAACAAGUGUCUUUGGUGAGUGAUGGGGCCAGAGAGGAAACCACAUCUGCAUCCAUGAUAGAAGGUCGGAACCAAAAUCUGUGUCACAAGCCAAGCCAACUGUGGGAUACCAGGGGUCAUAGGGCCAAAUUUAGGGCAAUAAGUAGUUUUAGGAUACUUUCUUCCUGGUUUAUUUGGGCAAAACAGGGACACCUACUGUUGAGACCUCAGUCGUCUGAUUACUUUGUAUGUUGAUUGGGUUUGUUCUAUAAGUGCUUUACCUAUUGUAUUGCCUGUGUAGAAUCAUCCUGCACAUAUGUAGAGUUUCUCAAAAUACCGUGUUUUUUUUUUUAAAUGACUUUUAGGAUAUAACAUUGUAUCCCUGUUAAAAUAUGGCCACCUAGCCUUUCUGGAGGUUGCCUUCCAUCAUUUUCUUUCAUUUUCUCAGAAUCUCCUUCUGGCCAAACCCAGGCUUCACCUUGGAAUUUCACUUAUGAAAGUACUGAAAAGUUAUAUAUGGUCAUUUUGCAUUAAGGCCCUGGCAAGAUAGCUGGUUAUUGUAGGGGAAAAUAUGUAUAUAUAUGUGUGUGUGUGUAUAUAUAAUUUAUGUUCCACUUUGGCCAAACAAACUAUGCAGUUUACCAUAGUUCAAUUGUCUUUAUGUAGUAAAGCCUGAUCUCAUGUUUGAAUCCCAUGGUUUCUAAAAUGAGCAUCUAAUAUCCAUUCACCUAUUGAUUAUCUCUCAUUUUACUGCUGCAGUAGGAAAACCGGGCUCAUAUACCUGCACUGCAUCCACUUUAACCUUUAGGACGGCAUCACCUUCUGAAAAGGCGCUUGUCAAGUCUAAGCGGAAACAUUUCAGACAUGGAGAGUCAAAAAUUAUUUACAUUCUGGGAAAUAGAAUCCAUAUUUCUUCUCUGAUGGAAAAGAAUAUCCUAACAGAUUGUUUAAUUCAAAAAAGGGAACAAAUGGCUUAUUGAUGAAUUGCUUUAGUUCCAAGCAUUACUGAGAGAAGGCUGAUACAAAUGUCUUUAUCUAUAAUCAUUAACAGUGGGACUGUUAGAUGAUAGCCUGUGGGUAAACAGAAGAAUCAACUUACCUCAUUCUAAGGCAGUAUGCAAAUCCAUCUUCCAUUGUUAAGAAAAUAACCAAUUUCUGUGAAUGAUCUUGUUUGUAGCUUUUAUCACUAGAUAGUUAAUUUAUGAAUAGUGGACCUAAAAAAUUCAAUAUUUUCUUCCCUGUGGUAAUAUGUUUGCAAUAAAUGAGACAUUAAGUUUUACAAAUCUUUGCCUGAAACCAGGAGUCAAAUGGUUUUAACAGACACUAUUAGGGCUUUUUGUUUUUUUUGUUUUUUUCUUUUUUUGGAGUGAUAAAGAAUGCUUUCUAUCACAGCUUGAUGGCAAUGCUUUUGCAUUAUGAAUCAGCAUUGAAUUCUAUAAUGCAAACUGACCCUUCUCUGAUAAUCCUAUUGAUUCUACCUUGUGCUACAUUGGUUUUCCAUAGGGCAAGUGAUAUGAUAAAUAUUAGAUCUUUAGGUCUAAUAUUGAAAUAUACUACAUUCUUUUUAUUUGCUUUUCAAAAAUAUUAAAUAAAUUUUGCUACUUUUCAGAUAUUCUGUAGUAUUUUAUAAUGGGAAAUUUUUUCAAUUCUUUUUUUGCCUUGAAGAAUAUCAUGUUGAUGUUGAAAACAGUGCCAGACUCUAAGAGUGGGUCAUAGGAAAAUUUAUGAAGAUUUACCAGUUUGAGCAAUUCUAAACCUUCUUUUUAUACUUUCUACAAUAACUCCUAUUUUUUUUAUCCUAUUUAGAAAGCAGGAUAUAAAAGAUAUUCUAUUUUUAAUGUAUUUUAUACACAUAUAUUAGAAAGAAGAAAGAAAACAUAUAUAAAAAAACCAAGUACGCAAUAUUGACUAGUAAUUAUCUAUGUUUAUUAGUAUAUGAGUUUUUAUGAUUUUUUUACUUUUAUUUAUAUCUUUAAUUUUUUUAAACAAUGUUACUUCUAUUUCUAAAAUGUUUAAAAAAUAUUUUUAGAGUUCCCAUUGUUGCUCAGCAAGUUAAGGACCCAAGAUAGUGUCUGUGAGGAUGUAAGAUCAAUCGCCAGCCUUGCUCAGUAGGUUAAGGAUCCAGCAUUGCUGCAGGCUGCAGUUUAGGUCACAGAUGUGGCUUGGAUCCCACAUUGUUGUGGCUAUGGCAUAGGCCAGCAGCUGCAGCUUUGAUUCGACUCCACGCCCAGGAACUUCCAUAGACUGCAGGGGCAGCCGUAAAAAGACAAAAAAAUAUUCUUAGCAGAUCUCCUUGGAGGUUAUCUGUCCAGAUAUGUUGAAAGGGAAACCCAGAUUUGACAGAACUAGUAACUGACAAUUAACUUAUUUAUUUUAGGGAAUUCUUUUGGGAGGCACAACCAAAAAUAAGUUAAGAUAUUAUAAAGCUUCUAUAUAAUUUCUAUUUUAUAGAUAUUUACUAUAUUAAAAAGACCUAAAAAUUAACAUCAAGAAUAUUUUAAAUUAAUUUAAGAAUAUCAACAUCCAUUUCCAGUAAAUUUCUUAGUAAAUGAAACUAAAUAUGCUUUUUCUUGAAAUUAUAAUCUGCCAGAAACUCAGAACCAGGAAAAUAUUAAAACCAUGUUCGCCUAAGAUGAAGAUAAGACCAAACCCCCACUAAAACUAUUAUUCUGUAUUUUUCUAGAAAUUCUAGCAAAUGAAAUAAAACAGCAAAAGAUAAAUGUAUACAUUGGAAAAGAAGAGGCAAAAUUAUCAAAAUUAUUUUUAUAUCGAUGACACAAUUAUUCACUGAGGAAAACCUAAGUAAAUCAGCAAAUAAAUACUUUAUAAAAAUAAAUUAAUAAAUUGGCUAUACUUGAUUACACAAAAAUUCAGUAUAUAUUUGUAUGUCAU